AUAAAUUAUGUAAUAUGCCAGGGAGAUAUGUAUACUGUAGCUAAGAAAGUAAUACUUAGUGUAUGUUGUGUAGUAAGCUGUUAGUAGCCCAUGUGCCCCACCCUAAUAAUUUGGUCUAUUUUCUUCUCUUAACUUUGCCUACUGUUCUGACUUGGUGGUGCACAUGUAGCCUAUAACCUGUUUUAGAGAAAUGUCAUCAUCAAAUAUUGUAAGAGCUUUCAUUGUCUGCUUAUAUGCCCCCUUUAUUUAUCCUAUGGUUCAGACUUGGUUUACAGGGAGAACACUGUAAGAACGGCCCAUGUUCUGAAUUCUGUCGCUGUACUGUUGGGACUCUGCUGUUGGGACAACUUUGUGUAGGCCCUAACAGUUUGUGGGCAACGUUUGUCACCAUUUUAGUGAAAUUAAUCUAUUGUUUAGUGUUGUGUUGUUGCUUUUCCGGCAUUCAUCCCUCUUUUUUUGGUUUAUCCCACCAAGCUUUACAUGCUAAAAUCGUCACGGGUUGUAAUAUUAACUUACCAUAUGUAUCCAUCUUUGCACACAUGCCAGUACAUUUUCUGAUAGGACACCUUGAGCAGGCCUUUCUUCUGGAGGUAUUUCACCUUUUAAGCUGUUUUUUUGGCUACAAUAUAUGACUUAGCACACGAGCUAUUUUCAAUUAAAAAUCCUUGGGUCAGGUAUUGGAUUUGGGUGCGCACUUUAAGAGUAAAAAUUUGUAUCCAGCUGGAAAUUGGACCAAAAAAAAGAGAGUUCACUUGUUCACAUGUUGUUUAACGUCAUCGAGGACAAAACGCAGUGACAGUCAACGCUGACCAAGGCCAACCAUGAAUGUCUUACAAACAAUGUAAGAAGAUGGCCUCAUCAGCAGAGAUUGAUGCCAUAACUGAAUUGGUAGAUGUCGAGAUCCCUAAGUAAGAUGUAUGGGAACCAACUGUGGUUGCUGUAGAUGAUUAUGUACCUCCCAUAGAUGGGGACAACGUUGACAAGAUGUGUGAGUCGGACAAUAGCUCAGAUUUUUCAAGCUCAGACGGCUCGUCAUCCACUGACAGUGAAUAUGAAAAAAAGAAGAAGAAGAAGAAGGGGAAAAAAGGAAACAGCUAAAUCCAGAGAAAACCUCCGGGGACCAUGAAACAACAUCCCAGGAACAUCCUGAAAACGUCCUCGGAGACAUCCCUGUGACAAACCAUGAACUAGACAAAAUCUCCAGGGGACCGUGACACAACAUCUCAAGAACGUCCUAAAAAUGUCGGCGAGGACGGCCCCGGGACAAACCGGGAACUAGACAAAACCUCCAGGCAACCAUGCCACAAUGUCCUGACCACUUUAGGCCGACCAAUUAGACACAUUUUGGUGUACAAGGAUAGCCUUGCUAUCUCCAACCAAUCAGAGUUUUUGGAAACAGGCGUCUGGACACUACACCCGCCCACUCAGGCCAGGCAAGUAGUGUGACAGAUGGAGUGAGUGACUCAUUCUCAAGGUUGUGUCACCAAUGUCAGUGUCCGGAUACCCAUACUAGUGUA
rnacentral:lncRNA from 1 species